rnacentral:rRNA from 1 species
GAUGAACGCUGGCGGCGUGCCUAAUACAUGCAAGUCGAGCGAACAGACGAGGAGCUUGCUCCUCUGACGUUAGCGGCGGACGGGUGAGUAACACGUGGAUAACCUACCUAUAAGACGGGGAUAACUUCGGGAAACCGGAGCUAAUACCGGAUAAUAUAUUGAACCGCAGGGAUCAAUAGUGAAAGACGGUUUGGCUGUCACUUAUAGAUGGAUCCGCGCCGCAUUAGCUAGUUGGUAAGGUAACGGCUUACCAAGGCAACGAUGCGUAGCCGACCUGAGAGGAUGAUCGGCCACACUGGAACUGAGACACGGUCCAGACUCCUACGGGAGGCAGCAGUGGGGAAUCUUCCGCAAUGGGCGAAAGCUUGACGGAGCAACGCCGCGUGAGUGAUGAAGGUCUUCGGAUCGUAAAACUCUGUUAUUAGGGAAGAACAAAUGUGUAAGUAACUAUGCCCGUCUUGACGGUACCUAAUCAGAAAGCCACGGCUAACUACGUG